rnacentral:lncRNA from 1 species
AAGCAGACUUGCGAGAACCUUGGUUCCACCCUGGAUGAAAGUCCAAGGUUUGGUUGUAAUUUUGGUUUGGGGCACCAUUUCUUUGCCGCGGUUUGUCCUGUCUAAUGUUUGUGCUGUCUAAUGUGCUGUCAUUUGUGUUAUGUGUUUCUUAAGCAUCUCUUUCUGUCCCACAUUGCCCAUGCACGUGGCAUGCAUGGGUCAGGGGUCUUUUCUUGUUGCCCUAAGCACAUGGCACGGGAAAGGAGUUCUGCCAUGUGUCACGGGUUAGAAUGUGUUAUGUUGGACACCCCUACCCCAGGUCUCUCUGCCUUGAGCCACAUGGAGCUAGAGCGUAUGAACUUAUCUGGCCUGAUCCGGACAUCUAAAUGGCCUUAAAGUUAUUAAGAACUAUAAAAGGGACUUUGACAAAAUUUUUAUGUUAACUAAAAAAUAAAAAAAAAAUGUAAAAGACUUAAAUAAUAAAGAAAAAAAAUUGUCUAAGAAUGUCUAAGAAAGUCAGAGAAAUAAAAUAAAAGAUUAUAGAGAGUUAAAACAAAUGGUAAAAGUUAUAGAGGGUUAAAGCAAGUUGUUGGAGGUCAGAGAAAAAGAUUGUUACAGAAAGUUAUAGAGGGUUAAAGUAAGUUGUAGAAGGUCAAAGGAAA